rnacentral:rRNA from 1 species
AGAGUUUGAUCCUGGCUCAGGAUGAACGCUAGCUACAGGCUUAACACAUGCAAGUCGAGGGGAAACGACAUCGAAAGCUUGCUUUUGAUGGGCGUCGACCGGCGCACGGGUGAGUAACGCGUAUCCAACCUGCCCAUCACUUGGGGAUAACCUUGCGAAAGUAAGACUAAUACCCAAUGACGUCUCUAGAAGACAUCUGAAAGAGAUUAAAGAUUUAUCGGUGAUGGAUGGGGAUGCGUCUGAUUAGCUUGUUGGCGGGGUAACGGCCGACCAAGGCGACGAUCAGUAGGGGUUCUGAGAGGAAGGUCCCCCANACUUGGAACUGAGACACGGGUCCAAACUCCUACGGGACGGCA